rnacentral:lncRNA from 1 species
UACUGUAUGGUGUAGGUUUAUUACCCAUACAACAGUAUUUAUUUAAAAGGGUGUCGCGGGUUUAUCGCCCAUGCCUUUACUUUUAUUUAAAUGUAUGGAGCAGAAUUAGUGCCCAUACAAGCACCUUUACUUUACUGCAAAUUUACUUUACCGCACAUUUAUUUUAUUUACUGUAUGGUGUAGGAUUAUUACCCAUACGACAGUAUUUAUUUAAAAGGGUGGUGCGGGUUUAUCGUCCACGCCUUUACUUUUAUUUAAAUGUAUGGUGCGGGUUUAUCGUCCAUACCAGUAAUUUAUUUACCAGCAAUUUAUUAUAUGGAUUAAAUGUGCUGUAUGAUGAGUUUUUACAGUAUGCAGAUCAGGACCAGAAGUUCCUUGAUCCUCAUCAUACAAUUACAUCAGGACUUGCAGAUCCUUGAUGAUGAUGUUAAUAUGAGAGCUGGCAGUCUCUCCGGUACUAUAUUUGUAAACAUGUGAUCGGACUUGAGGGUCCUUGAUCCCUGACAUGUAAAUAAGGACCUGGGGUUCCUUAAUGAUGUAACAGUACCGUAUUGGUUCAUAAUGCCGUACACAUGGAUGAUAACUGUACUGGCAAAUGUACUAGAACCUACAGUUCCUUAAACUCAUGGAUGAGCAAUUAAAUGAGAUGCCAGAAGUUCCUCAAAAUAUGGACAAUUAUGUAAGGGCUUGAAGUCCAGAAAUAUGUACAGAAAAUUGUAAAAAUGUCCAUACCAUAAGAAUAUGUGAUUUUGGCCCGAAGUUCAAAAUCUAAGGGGAUUGAAUGUCCAUACCAUGAGAAUAUGUGAUUUUGGCCUGAAGUUCAAAAUUUAACAGUGUUGAGAACCUGAAGUUCCAACAAUUAAAUGGACAACCCUUGAGGUAUUAUUGCAAAUUGUGGUAUGC